ACUUUGAACGAUUAUUACACGUUCUAUGAGUGUGCAUAUGUUCUAAGUGAAGAGACGCGCUGAUAUGACUUAUUGAAGGUCUCAGUACAACAUGGCGCGACAGUUGGCCGUCUAGAACCAUUUUGCACGAUCACUGUGUUUCUUCGAGCUUUGUCGUAAUCGAGGUGACUUGAGUGUUUAGGGUCAAGCGAGUGUACUUAAACAUUAGAAUUUUACAUGAUGAGGGACUGUGCCGCGUCUUUAAUAGGGUGGAUGUGAACAUUCGACAUGUUCCCCGAAGCGCAAGCCACUACCAUAAUAGUUAUGUGCAGUGCAAGGUGAGCUAAGCUUCGCCGCCUAACCGCGGCUUGAAAAUGUGGCGGCUCGUUAAGGGUUUACUGCGGUGCGCGUGUGUGAGUGUUUGUACAGCGAUCAUUUGAGCGAGAACCGGCGGCGCUUCUUUGUGCGCGGUAUCUGCUAGCUGGCGCGUACGCGGCGCCAGUCCCCUAGCUCGUGCGAUUGUGUGCAGUAGGUCGCUCACUAAGCGCGCAUUGUGCAGAUUUGCCAGUACGCGCCGUGCUAUCGUCUGUGUCUCUUCGCGCUCACGCCGCUGAUUGUGCAGGGAGUGUGCGACUGCGGCGUGUAGCAUGUAGAGCCUGCGCCCGUCGACUUUGAUCUACGGGCGUGAAAUGUCGGCGGCGCGUUUGUGGUAUUAAAAGCGUGUGGUGAGCUUCCAACGGCACUACGGGUCAACGCCGCAUGAACUGCCGGUCAGAGUAUAAGAAACGCUUUAUAGUUUAUAGUUAGCGUACUGCUUGGCGGUAACAGUGUCCUUCUUUGAUUCAGAUUACUGGAUACGCCGUCACUUGAACCUCGGCGGCCGGAGCAGGACUGUGGUUGCGGUCGUUUCGUUGCCAGCUGUGAGGAUGAAGCAGCUUCAUAACCGGAGAUCAGUCGCCUCCCAUCAGUUUCCCUUUUCAGCAAUAGAGGUCUUGGAUGCCUUUCUACCGGUGUUGCAUCCUGUGACUGACCACUCCAACGAUCUCGGCAGAAUCGUUACGCAGGAAGAAGUCCGGCUGGCCCCAAGCCUGGUGUGAAAUGAAGAAAUGGCACUCCACAUCAAUUCAUGUUUACUUGUCGUCAUAACCAGUCUGUUAGCUUAAUUUUGGUUCUUCUUAUUGAAUUCUCAAGAAAGGUACCAACUCUGUCAUUCAUUGAAAACGAAUUUUUGCACUUGGGGACGCAGCCAUGCACAAAGCCUUUGAGCUCAUUAAUAUUUUUAUUCUUAAAGAAAGUGCAGCUCCUGCGUGGAGCAAUGGGUUGAAUAAGACGAGGGUAAAUGAAAAGAUGGCGACAUUAAUUGUCAACAGUUGUCCAACAAAAAAAGUCUCAAGCUGGAGCCAACAUCAUUGCAAGGGAACCAAAUGGCUCCAGCCUGAGACAUUCGUUGUUCAACCUGGCAAGUCUCCUUGUCGAAAUAUUUCCUCUAGCCUGAGACCUAUAUCCACCCUCGACCAACGAUACACCCAUACAUUUGGCAACCCAUGGCAAGGUAACAAAUUCACAUUCAAAGAAAGAGAAUGUAGUGUGCACCCUGGAAGGUAGCAUGAACAGUAUUUUAUUUACUUAAUGAAAUGCAGGUUUGCUAUCCAACUACUUUAUUUCGAUCCCCAUUUUAUAACUGGACAGCAUGGUUCCUCAGAGAGAAUAUUUGUUCAAAGCUCACACAAUUUUGCUCCUGUAUGUCCGUUAAAUCUGUCCUGGUUGCUACACUACCAGCCCUGUCUGCAAUUUCAUAGCAGUGUUUUAAGUAUGCAUCCCAAUUCAAAAGAAUAGUUAGGCAUCUACCUCAGAAUGUCUGCUACUGCGUUGCAGCUCGAAUUCUAUAUCUAGGUGGUGACUGUGAUGCCAUGUGCUUUUUAAAUAAGACCAAUAUGCUAUCUGAAGUGCAAUUAAAUGAAAUCUCAAAUGACCUCAGCGCGGGGAAUGACACGAUUGGAAACCAAUGUGAUCAGGAGGAUUUGAUUUCUGAAAACAAGGCACUUAAACAUGAGAAACCAGUACUAAUCUCGUCUAAAGAUGCUGUUAUUGGGUAUGAUAGGGGAGUUACUUGUUCGUGGCUGCAUUUGCAGCAUGUUACAUUGCUGGCUUUAUAUAUUGCACUGGGUACAGUGAAAUGUUGCUGCUUGCACAAUAUUCAACUAAACAUGGUAGCCAUGCUAAAGUGUCCAUGCAGAACACAACUCAUCCACUAUUAAGAACUGCAGUGGAACCUUCAUAAACGAAAAUCGCUUAAGCGAAACUGCCGCCUAAACAGGACACCAUCCUGAUGGUUGGUUGGCUCUCUGCAAUGUCUCGCACUAAAUAGAAUGCCUGGUAAAUGGAACCAAUUUCCCCGGCCCCUUGAGGCUCCAUUUAAAGAGUGCCCACUGUAAAAAUAUAGGGGGAAUCCUGUUCGGAACUUUCGCAAAUCUAGUCGUAAACAAAACUGCAUUUCAGUGGGAGUGAAAUGCAAAAGCACCCGUGUACUUAGAUUUAGGUGCAUGUUAAAGAAGCCCAGGUUGUCCAAAUUAAUCCGGGGUUACUCGCUACGGCAUGUCUCAUAAUCAGCAGGUGGGUUCUGGUUUGUAAAAUACGGUUUAUUUUUAAUAGCCUGCUCGGAAAUACAGCCCAAUAACUACACUAAAUUAUGUAGCUUGUUUGUGUGUUGAGUCCCAAUUUCUUAAUUUAGUACUUUGACAUUUAUCAUAUUUGUGUGCUAGUCCAUGCAAAAUACCACUGAUCAGCCUCAUUAUACAAGCCACUGUUAAUUUAGAAUGGCUUAGUCAAGCAACUUAAACUUACAGCACAAACACCUAAGACGGACCACAAAAGGAACACACGACACAUCGAGGCUAACAACUUCUUUAUUUCUUCGUCGUCGAUGCAAUAUAAACCCUAGACCACACAACCGUGCAGGCACUCAGAUUACAUUACAGAGAUCUGCCAAAUUAUCACAUAAGCAAACGUAGGAAGUCAAAUUCAGAUGGGUGCAGGGACAAAGAUAUCUCACUGAUGCAAUUAUCGCCUUGCCUUUUUAUGUGGUAGGCCUCUAUGGUAAGCCGCGCAUGCUCAUUCUUGCUUUUGCCUAGAAUCGACGUCCCGUCAAGUUGUGCCUCACAAUUGUUGCAAGAGUUUAUAUGCGCACCAAGGUGCGCUGCUCUAUCUACAUUUUUGUUUACUUUUUGCGCAUGUUCCCUGAGUAGCUCAUUGACGCAAUGCCCUAUCUAGCCAAGCUAUAUCUUACCACAUGAGAGUGGAAUGGUGUAAACCACGCCGACAGCGCGCGACACGUAUGAAGCACUAUGCCGAAUUUGGCCUCCUCCUCUGCUCUCUCCGCAGGUGCGUGAGCAUAGCUUUAAAAGCUUGUUCGGCGAAGAAAAAGCCAAAGGAACACUAUGCCUGCAAGCAACUCCCUUGAGUUGAUAGAUGACCUUAUGUAUUUAAGGGACCACGCAGGGAACAUGCGCAAAAAAGUAAACAAGAAUGUAGGUAGAGGAGUGCACCUUGUUGCGCAUGCAAACCCUUACAACAAUUGUGAGACACGACUUGAUAGGACGUCGAUUCUUGGCAAAAGCAAGAAUGAGCAUGCGCAGCUUGCCUUAGAGGCCUACCACAUAAAAAGGCAAGGCGAUAAUUGCAUCAGUGACAUAUCUUUGUCCCUGCACCCAUCUGCAUUUGACUUCCUACGUUUGCUUAUGCGGUAAUUUGGUAGAUCUCUGUAAUGUAGUCUGUGCGGUUGUGUGGCCUAGGGUUUAUAUAUGCAUCGAUGACAAAGAAAUAAAGAAGUUGUCAGUUAGCGCCAGUGUGUGCCGUAUCUGCCUUUUGUGGUCCGUCUUAGGUGUUUGCGCUGUAAGUUUAAGUUCAGAAUUAUGUACCAACUAGGCCCAAGUGGAGUUUUACUGUUAGUCAAGCAAGCUCAAUAUAUAGUCUGUGCAAAAGUGUGGAGUGUCAGUGCAAAGUAACAGUUCAAACACAUGGCUAUGUAGUUACAGUUCAGUAUGAAACGAGAUAAGAUUUCAUAGCAUUUCUUUCAUUUGCUAAUUUCAUUGUGUUAGGACAUGUAGAAUACUAGUAACUGGCAUGCAUGCUUACAAUGUACAGUAUUCUUUUUUAAAAUCAAGACAAUUAUUUUACUGGGGCAGAAAUUUGCUUUCUUUUGGGCCCGAAAGUGAACAUAUAUUUCUUACAUUUGGUGUUUAAUAAAUUUUCUUUGCUGUCAAUGUG